UAAUCACGGGGCCACUUCGGUUCUGCCCCUUCGGGGCGGAUGAAAAGGGAACGCGGUGAUGCCUUCGGGCCAAUCCGCGGCUGCCCCCGCAACUGUAGGCGGAGAGCGAGGCUGACAAUGCCACUGGGGCCGAUGCCCCCGGGAAGGCCAGCCGAGCCCAGACCCGCGAGCCAGGAGACCUGCCGAGGUGAUCACCCUUUC
rnacentral:ncRNA from 2 species